rnacentral:rRNA from 1 species
UACUCCUACGGGAGGCAGCAGUAGGGAAUCUUCCGCAAUGGACGAAAGUCUGACGGAGCAACGCCGCGUGAGUGAUGAAGGUUUUCGGAUCGUAAAGCUCUGUUGUUAGGGAAGAACAAGUGCGAGAGUAACUGCUCGCACCUUGACGGUACCUAACCAGAAAGCCACGGCUAACUACGUGCCAGCAGCCGCGGUAAUACGUAGGUGGCAAGCGUUGUCCGGAAUUAUUGGGCGUAAAGGGCUCGCAGGCGGUUUCUUAAGUCUGAUGUGAAAGCCCCCGGCUCAACCGGGGAGGGUCAUUGGAAACUGGGAAACUUGAGUGCAGAAGAGGAGAGUGGAAUUCCACGUGUAGCGGUGAAAUGCGUAGAGAUGUGGAGGAACACCAGUGGCGAAGGCGACUCUCUGGUCUGUAACUGACGCUGAGGAGCGAAAGCGUGGGGAGCGAACAGGAUAGAUACCCUGGGUAGUCCA